UUGAAGUGUUUGUGAUGAUGCAAUCUACCCGCGGCUAGACGGAAAGACCCCAUGAACCUUUACUGUAGCUUUGCAUUGGACUGUGAACCGGCCUGUGUAGGAUAGGUGGGAGGCGCAGAACUCGAGUCGCCAGAUUCGAGGGAGCCAUCCUUGAAAUACCACCCUGGUUUGUUUGCGGUUCUAACCUUGGUCCGUUAUCCGGAUCGGGGACAGUGCAUGGUAGGCAGUUUGACUGGGGCGGUCUCCUCCCAAAGCGUAACGGAGGAGUUCGAAGGUACGCUAGGUACGGUCGGAAAUCGUGCUGAUAGUGCAAUGGCAUAAGCGUGCUUGACUGUGAGACUGACAAGUCGAACAGGUGCGAAAGCAGGACAUAGUGAUCCGGUGGUUCUGAAUGGAAGGGCCAUCGCUCAACGGAUAAAAGGUACUCUGGGGAUAACAGGCUGAUACCGCCCAAGAGUUCAUAUCGACGGCGGUGUUUGGCACCUCGAUGUCGGCUCAUCUCAUCCUGGGGCUGUAGCCGGUCCCAAGGGUAUGGCUGUUCGCCAUUUAAAGAGGUACGUGAGCUGGGUUUAAAACGUCGUGAGACAGUUUGGUCCCUAUCUGCCGUGGGCGUUGGAUACUUGACGGAGCCUGCUCCUAGUACGAGAGGACCGGAGUGGACGUACCUCUGGUGUACCGGUUGUCAUGCCAAUGGCAUUGCCGGGUAGCUAAGUACGGAAGAGAUAACCGCUGAAGGCAUCUAAGCGGGAAACUCGUCUGAAGAUUAGGUAUCCCGGGGACUAGAUCCCCCUGAAGGGUCGUUCGAGACCAGGACGUUGAUAGGUCGGGUGUGGAAGCGCAGUAAUGCGUUAAGCUAACCGAUACUAAUUGCCCGUGAGGCUUGAUCCU
rnacentral:rRNA from 1 species